GACGAACGCUGGCGGCGUGCUUAACACAUGCAAGUCGAACGGGAUUUAGUAGACAGAAGCCUCGGCUAAAGAUUACUAAUGAGAGUGGCGAACGGGUGAGUAACGCGUGAGCAACCUGCCUAUGACAGUGGGAUAGCCUCGGGAAACCGGGAUUAAUACCGCAUAAAAUCGUAGAAACACAUGUUUCAACGGUCAAAGAUUUAUCGGUCAUAGAUGGGCUCGCGUCUGAUUAGCUAGUUGGUGAGAUAACAGCCCACCAAGGCGACGAUCAGUAGCCGGUCUGAGAGGAUGAACGGCCACAUUGGAACUGAGACACGGUCCAAACUCCUACGGGAGGCAGCAGUGGGGAAUAUUGCACAAUGGGGGAAACCCUGAUGCAGCGACGCCGCGUGAACGAAGAAGGUAUUCGUAUCGUAAAGUUCUGUCCUAUGGGAAGAUGAUGACAGUACCAUAGAAGAAAGCUCCGGCUAAAUACGUG
rnacentral:rRNA from 1 species